ACAUAAAACCGGCAGCACACGGAGGAGAUCUACACGGCAGACUCAGCGCUGUGAUCUGUGCGCUUUGAGGUGUCCUUAGCCUUGGCUCUGCAUUUACUGAGGAAACCACGAAUGUGGUCUCAGCACGUAGCUGUACCUCUUGUAUGACCGAGUGUUGCCAGGAGUGGGUUGUUUCACGGCACCUACCCUGGAGUGGAUGCUUGUGAGCUUGCCGGAUGCAUUGCUGCUCAUCUGCCACGCUGAAUGCCUCGUCAGCUCCUCAUGGAAACAACACCCCUCCGAGGAUGCUUUCCUGCUAAGAUACAGAGAAGAAGGAGAAAAGAAGAAAGGCWUUGGAAUGUUCAUGUCUCUCAGCUCUCGUUUUGUCCCUCGC